GACAGAGGUGGCAAGCGUUGUCCGGAAUCAUUGGGCGUAAAGAGCGUGUAGGCGGCCCGGUAAGUCCGCUGUGAAAGUCGGGGGCUCAACCCUCGAAUGCCGGUGGAUACUGUCGGGCUAGAGUGCGGAAGAGGCGAGUGGAAUUCCUGGUGUAGCGGUGAAAUGCGCAGAUAUCAAGAGGAACACCUGAGGCGAAGGCGGGUUGCUAGGCUGAUACUGACGCUGAGGCGCGAAAGCUAGGGUAGCAAACGGG
rnacentral:rRNA from 1 species